rnacentral:pre_miRNA from 1 species
AUGUUACUCCCUCCGUUCAGAAUUACUUGUCUCGGAAAUGAAUGUAUCUAGAACUAAAAUAUAUCUAGAUGCAUCCAUUUCUGCGACAAGUAAUUCCAAACGGAGAGAGUAGUUU